GACGAACGCUGGCGGCGUGCUUAACACAUGCAAGUCGAACGGGCCCGCCCCUGUUUUUGGGGGUGGGUUGAGUGGCGACCGGGUGAGUAUCACGUGAGUAACCUGCCCCCUGCUCCUGGAUAACUGCUUGAAAGGGCGGCUAAUACGGGGUGUGCCGGCUGGUCCGCAUGGGCCUGGUCGGGAUAGUUUCAUCUUCGGGUGUUUCGGUGGGGGAUGGGCUCGCGGCCUAUCAGCUUGUUGGUGGGGUGAUGGCCCACCAAGGCGGUGACGGGUAGCCGGCCUGAGAGGGUGGGCGGCCACGCUGGGACUGAGACACGGCCCAGACUACUGCGGGAGGCAGCAGUGGGGGGUAUUGCACGAUGGGCGGAAGCCUGAUGCAGCGACGUCGCGUGAGGGAUGGAGGCCUUCGGGUUGUGAACCUCUUUCUCCGGUGGUGAAGGCCCUGUCCGUUGCGGCGGGGUUGACGGUAGCCGGGUAUGAAGCGCCGGCUAACUACGUG
rnacentral:rRNA from 1 species